rnacentral:tRNA from 1 species
UGCCAGAUCGUCUAAGGGUAGGACAGCAGACUCUGACUCUGCACGUGUGGGUUCGAAUCCUACUCUGGCAG